rnacentral:tRNA from 1 species
AAUGAAGUGCCUGAUUAAAGGAUUACUGUGAUAGAGUAAAUCAUGUAAAUUUAACUUACCUUCAUUA